rnacentral:rRNA from 1 species
UACGAAGGGGGCUAGCGUUGCUCGGAAUUACUGGGCGUAAAGCGCACGUAGGCGGCUUUCUAAGUCGGGGGUGAAAUCCUGGAGCUCAACUCCAGAACUGCCUUCGAUACUGGAGAGCUCGAGUCCGGGAGAGGUGAGUGGAACUGCGAGUGUAGAGGUGGAAUUCGUAGAUAUUAGGAAGAACACCAGUGGCGAAGGCGGCUCACUGGUCCGGUACUGACGCUGAGGUGCGAAAGCGUGGGGAGCAAACAGG